rnacentral:pre_miRNA from 2 species
GUGACAUAGCAUAGGCAUGUCACAAGGUGAAUCUAACGGCUGAGAUUCAUCUACGUCAUCACGAGUUAAAAUUUAACUCGUAGGAGUAAAAAUUUUAUUGAGAGUAAAAUUUCAGGAGUUAAAAUUUUACUGGAGUUAAAUUUUAACUCGUGAUGACGUAGACGAAUCUCAGUCGUUGAAUUUGGUUUGGAGGGCUGAGAUCUAUACUAUGUCAC